GAUGAACGCUGGCGGCGUGCUUAACACAUGCAAGUCGAACGAUGAAGCCCAGCUUGCUGGGUGGAUUAGUGGCGAACGGGUGAGUAACACGUGAGUAACCUGCCCUUAACUCUGGGAUAAGCCUGGGAAACUGGGUCUAAUACCGGAUAGGAGCGUCCACCGCAUGGUGGGUGUUGGAAAGAUUUAUCGGUUUUGGAUGGACUCGCGGCCUAUCAGCUUGUUGGUGAGGUAAUGGCUCACCAAGGCGACGCCGGGUAGCCGGCCUGAGAGGGUGACCGGCCACACUGGGACUGAGACACGGCCCAGACUCCUACGGGAGGCAGCAGUGGGGAAUAUUGCACAAUGGGCGCAAGCCUGAUGCAGCGACGCCGCGUGAGGGAUGACGGCCUUCGGGUUGUAAACCUCUUUCAGUAGGGAAGAAGCGAAAGUGACGGUACCCGCAGAAGAAGCACCGGCUAACUACGUG
rnacentral:rRNA from 1 species